UCCCUGGUGGCUCAGCUGGUAAAGCAUCUGCCUGCAAUGCAGGAGACCUGAGUUCGAUCCCUGGGCUGGGAA
rnacentral:tRNA from 1 species